CUACGGGGGGCUGCAGUGGGGGAUAUUGCACAAUGGGGGAAACCCUGAUGCAGCAACGCCGCGUGAAGGAAGACGGAUUUCGGUCUGUAAACUUCUAUCAGCAGGGAUGAAAAUGACAGUACCUGACUAAUAAGCACCGGCUAACUACGUGCCAGCAGCCGCGGUAAUACGUAGGGGGCAAGCGUUAUCCGGAUUUACUGGGUGUAAAGGGUACGUAGGCGGUUUGUUAAGUCAGAUGUGAAAGCCCGGAGCUCAACUCCGGGACUGCAUUUGAAACUGGCGAACUAGAGUACAGGAGAGGAAAGCGGAAUUACUAGUGUAGCGGUGAAAUGCGUAGAUAUCAGGAAGAACACCAGUGGCGAAGGCGGCCUUCUGGACUGUAACUGACGCUGAGGUACGAAAGCGUGGGGAGCGAACAGGAUUAGAUACCCGGGUAGUC
rnacentral:rRNA from 1 species